rnacentral:rRNA from 1 species
AGCCACACAUUAAAAGAGUGCGUAAUAGCUCACUGGUCGAGUGAUCCUGCGCCGAAAAUUCAACGGGGCUAAAAUUUGUACCGAAGCUUGGGCUUGAUACAUUCGUAUCAGGGGUAGGGGAGCGUCAUGUAUGAGGUGAAGUCGUAGCGGAAGCGGCGGUGGAUUGUACAUGAGAGAGAAUGCCGGAAUGAGUAGCGAGAAUUAUGUGAGAAUCAUAAUGGCCGAAAAUCUAAGGUUUCCUGAGGAAAGUUCGUCCGCUCAGGGUAAGCCGGGAGCUAAGGUGAGGCGGAAACGCGUAGCCGAUGCACAUACGGUAGAGAUUCCGUAGCCUCCGAAAAGUAAAGCACAGGGACGCUUCAGAAGUGUUACGCCGGGCGAUGGUAGCCCCGGUUGUAAAGGACACAAUUGAGUGGAAGGUAACAUGGAUGGAGACAAGAAAAGCUGUGUGUAUCUGGAAGGAGCCCGUACCGCAAACCGACACAGGUAGAUAGGAAGAAGAUUCUAAGGCCAGCGGGAGAAGGGUUGUUAAGGAACUCGGCAAGUUGACCCCGUAACUUCGGGAGAAGGGGUGCUUACGAAGGUAAGCCGCAGAGAAUAGGCCCAAGCGGCUGUUUAGCAAAAACACAGCUCUAUGCUAAAUCGAAAGAUGACGUAUAUGGGGUGACACCUGCCCGGUGCUGGAAGGUUAAGAGGAGAUGUGAGAGCAUUGAAUUGAAGCCCCAGUAAACGGCGGCCGUAACCAUAACGGUCCUAAGGUAGCGAAAUUCCUUGUCAGGUAAGUUCUGACCCGCACGAAUGGUGUAACGAUUUGGGCACUGUCUCAACAACCUACCCGGCGAAAUUGUAGUACCGGUGAAGAUGCCGGUUACCCGCGACUAGACGGAAAGACCCCAUGGAGCUUCACUGUAGCUUAAUAUUGAAUUUUGGUAUUUCAUGUACAGGAUAGGUGGGAGACUGGGAAAUACAGGCGUCAGCUUGUAUGGAGUCACUGUUGGGAUACCACUCUUGAGGUGCUGAAAUUCUAACCUGCGUCUUUGAAUCAAGACGGGGGACAUUGUUAGGUGGGCAGUUUGACUGGGGCGGUCGCCUCCAAAAGAGUAACGGAGGCGCUCAAAGGUUCGCUCAGCAUGGACGGAAACCAUGCCAAAGAGUGCAAACGCAAAAGCGAGCCUAACUGCGAGACUGACGGGUCGAGCAGUAACGAAAGUUGGAGUUAGUGAUCCGGCGGUAUGUGAGUGGAAAUGCCGUCGCUCAACGGAUAAAAGCUACCCUGGGGAUAACAGGCUGAUCUCCCCCAAGAGUCCACAUCGACGGGGAGGUUUGGCACCUCGAUGUCGGCUCAUCGCAUCCUGGGGCUGAAUUCGGUCCCAAGGGUUUGGCUGUUCGCCAAUUAAAGCGGUACGCGAGCUGGGUUCAGAACGUCGUGAGACAGUUCGGUCCCUAUCUGUCGUGGGCGUAGGAUAUUUGAAAGGAGCUGUCCCUAGUACGAGAGGACCGGGAUGGACGCACCUCUGGUGAACCAGUUGUCACGCCAGUGGCACGGCUGGGCAGCUAAGUGCGGAACGGAUAAACGCUGAAAGCAUCUAAGCGUGAAGCCGACCUUAAGAUAAGAUAUCCGUUCUUCGGAAUAAGACCCCUUGUAGACUACGAGGUUGAUAGGCUUAAAGUGUAAGCAUGGUGACAUGUUUAGCUUGCAAGUACUAAUCGGUCGAUUGCUUUUCUA